rnacentral:rRNA from 1 species
ACUGCUAUCGGAUUGAUACUAAGCCAUGCGAGUCAUUGUAGUAAUACAAGGCAGACGGCUCAGUAACGCGUAGUCAACCUACCCUAUGGACGGGAAUAACCUCGGGAAACUGAGAAUAAUGCCCGAUAGAACAUUAUGCCUGGAACGGUUUAUGUUCCAAAUGAUUUAUCGCCGUAGGAUGGGACUGCGUCCUAUCAGUUUGUUGGUGAGGUAAUGGCCCACCAAGACUAUUACAGGUACGGGCUCUGAGAGGAGUGGCCCGGAGAUGGGUACUGAGACACGGACCCAGGCCCUAUGGGGCGCAGCAGGCGAGAAAACUUUGCAAUGUGCGAAAGCACGACAAGGUUAAUCCGAGUGGUUUCUGCUAAAGGAACCUUUUGUCGGUCCUAGAAACACCGAUGAAUAAGGGGUGGGCAAGUUCUGGUGUCAGCCGCCGCGGUAAAACCAGCACCUCAAGUUGUCAGGAUGAUUAUUGGGCCUAAAGCAUCCGUAGCCGGCUCUGUUAGUUUUCGGUUAAAUCUAUACGCUCAACGUAUAGGCUGCCGGGAAUACUGCAGAGCUAGGGAGUGGGAGAGGUAGACGGUACUCGGUAGGAAGGGGUAAAAUCCUUUGAUCUAUUGAUGACCACCUGUGGCGAAGGCGGUCUACCAGAACACGUCCGACGGUGAGGGAUGAAAGCUGGGGGGGCAAACCGGAUUAGAUACCCGGGUAGUCCCAGCUGUAAACUAUGCAAACUCAGUGAUGCAUUGGCUUGUGGCCAAUGCAGUGCUGCAGGGAAGCCGUUAAGUUUGCCGCCUGGGAAGUACGUACGCAAGUAUGAAACUUAAAGGAAUUGGCGGGGGAGCACCACAAGGGGUGAAG